UAGACAGAAAUUUUACUAGGUCACAUGGCACGCAUAGCGGCAAUGGAAAAGAAGCUGGCGGCCAUGGAUUUCUCUUCUCGGAUCAUUUUCAACAAAGAUAUUCUGUUAGAGAAAUAUUAAGCAGUACCAUAAAAAUUGCUAAAAAAAAAUUUUUUUAAUUGUUUACCAUUUUAGACACAUAUUCGAAGGGUAAUCAAAGAAUCUACCUUUUCACCAAAAGUUCAGCUCUUCAAAAACUUAGAGGCUAAUGAAGUUCUUCUAUAUUACUGUGGACGGAAAUUGCUUCGAAAUUGGGUUGGAGAGGAAAAUUUGGCAAUUGUAGGUAUUUUUUAUUCAAAGUAUGUAUAAUUAUGGUAUAGUUAUCGUAUAUUUCUAUGACUCAACCUGCAUUUCUGCCUAAAGACAAGUGUACUAAAUAAUUUCUAGACAGAAAUUUUACUAGGUCACAUGGCACGCAUAGCGGCAAUGGAAAAGAAGCUGGCGACCAUGAAUUUCUCUUCUAGGCUCAUUUUCAACAAAGAUAUUCUGUUACCUUUAGAGAAAUAUUAAGCAGUACCAUAAAAAUUCCUAAAUAAUUUUUUUUAAAUUGUUUCCCAUUUUAGACUCAUAUUCGAAGGGUAAUCAAGGAAUCUACCUUUUCACCAAAAGUUCAGCUCUUCAAAAACUUAGAGCCUAAUGAAGUCCUUCUACAUUACUGUGGACGGAAAUUGCUUCGAAAUUAGGUUGGAGAAAAAAAAAUUUGGCCGUGGUAAGUAUUCUUCAUUUAAAGUUUGUAUAAUUAUGGUAUAGUUAUCAUAUAAUUCUAUGACCCAACCUGGAUUUCUACUUAAAGACAAGUGUACUGAUUUUAUGUUAUUCCUAGACAGGGAUUCUACUUGGUCACAUGGUACGGAUAACAAAAGGGAAAGGAAGCUGAAAGCAAGGGAAAGGAAGCUGACAGCAAGGGAAAGGAAGCUGACAGCAAGGGAAAGGAAGCUGACAGCAAGGGAAAGGAAGCUGACAGCAAGGGAAAGGAAGCUGACAGCAAGGGAAAGGAAGCUGACAGCAAGGGAAAGGAAGCUGACAGCAAGGGAAAGGAAGCUGACAGCAAGGGAAAGGAAGCUGACAGCAAGGGAAAGGAAGCUGACAGCCAUGGAUUUCACUUCCAGGGGCAUUUUCAAAAAACAUUUAGGUUUACCAGAGGUAAAUUUAAUGGAUAUCUUAUCCAUCGAGUUUGAUAUCAAAGUCAAAUGAAUUAAAUCCUAUUUUUUCCUAUUUGAAAUUAUACAAUUUGAAAAGCUAACCCUGAAUCAUAUUUCUUCCAGAUUUUAGCAUAUUUGGUCAGUGGCCAAGAGUGAAUAACUCCUGCACGUGCAUGGGAAAUUCUUGUAAGCUGCAUAGGUUUUUUAAGAUUACUUAAAACGAUAUAUUAGCUUGAAAUUAAUAUUUAUGGGGAAGAUACAGAACAAAAACCUAGAUGUUAACAAUGUAAAGAAGAAAAAGGAGCUCUCAUGUGCAUUUGUAAUUGAUAAUUUUUAUCAAUAUUAUUUACAUAAAUAGUGGUUACCAUUGAUUGGCCUUCUACUUGGUCACAUGGUACGGAUAACAAAAGGGAAAGGAAGCUGAAAGCAAGGGAAAGGAAGCUGACAGCAAGGGAAAGGAAGCUGACAGCAAGGGAAAGGAAGCUGACAGCAAGGGAAAGGAAGCUGACAGCAAGGGAAAGGAAGCUGACAGACAGCAAGGGAAAGGAAGCUGACAGCCAUGGAUUUCACUUCCAGGGGCAUUUUCAAAAAACAUUUAGGUUUACCAGAGAUUUUAGCAUAUUUGGUCAGCGGCCAAGAGUGAAUAACUCCUGCGCGUGCAUGGGAAAUAUUGAAAAACCACCGCGUUUGCAUCAAGAUCCUUAAGUGGAACUUCUAUAAAUCUAUCAGGUAAUGUGUUUCUAAAAUAUUGUUUGUC